AACGAACGCUGGCGGCAUGCCUAACACAUGCAAGUCGAACGAGACCUUCGGGUCUAGUGGCGCACGGGUGCGUAACGCGUGGGAACCUGCCCUUAGGUUCGGAAUAGCUCCCCGAAAGGGGUGCUAAUACCGGAUAAUGUCUUCGGACCAAAGAUUUAUCGCCUUUGGAUGGGCCCGCGUUGGAUUAGCUAGUUGGUAGGGUAAAAGCCUACCAAGGCGACGAUCCAUAGCUGGUCUGAGAGGAUGAUCAGCCACACUGGGACUGAGACACGGCCCAGACUCCUAUGGGAGGCAGCAGUGGGGAAUAUUGGACAAUGGGCGAAAGCCUGAUCCAGCAAUGCCGCGUGAGUGAUGAAGGCCUUAGGGUUGUAAAGCUCUUUUACCCGGGAUGAUAAUGACAGUACCGGGAGAAUAAGCUCCGGCUAACUCCGUG
rnacentral:rRNA from 1 species